rnacentral:miRNA from 1 species
UUUGUACUCCGAUGCCAUCCAC